CUUCCCGUGAAGAAGCGGGAAUUACUCUAUAAGACGAGAAGACCCCAUGAAGCUUCAAAUAAGUAUCAACUGUUAACCUUAUACCACCAGAAACCUAAUGGCGAUGACUACUAAUUUUAGGUUGGGGCGACCAUGGAGUAAAACAAAACCUCCACAAUGAAAAGACAUAACCCCUUACUCAAGAACAACAGUUCUAACAAUCAAUACAUUGACAUAAAUUGACCCAAAUUUGAUCAAUGAACCAAGUUACUCUGGGGAUAACAGCGCUAUCUAUUUCAAGAGUUCAUAUCGACAAAUGGGUUUACGACCUCGAUGUUGGAUCAGGGUAUCCUAGUGGUGCAGCCGCUACUAAAGGUUCGUUUGUUCAACGAUUAAAACCC
rnacentral:rRNA from 1 species